AACGCGAAGAACCUUACCAGCUCUUGACAUGGGACGUUUGGAACCGAGAGAUCGGUUUCUUCAGUUCGGCUGGCGUCCACACAGGUGCUGCAUGGCUGUCGUCAGCUCGUGUCGUGAGAUGUUGGGUUAAGUCCCGCAACGAGCGCAACCCUCACCUUCAGUUGCCAUCAGGUUAAGCUGGGCACUCUGAAGGAACUGCCGGUGACAAGCCGGAGGAAGGCGGGGAUGACGUCAAGUCCUCAUGGCCUUUAUGGGCUGGGCUACACACGUGCUACAAUGGCGGUGACAGAGGGAAGCAAAGAGGCAACUCCUCGCCAAUCUCAAAAAGCCGUCUCAGUUCGGAUUGUUCUCUGCAACUCGAGAGCAUGAAGCUGGAAUCGCUAGUAAUCGCGGAUCAGCACGCCGCGGUGAAUACGUUCCCGGGCCUUGUACACACCGAGACGAC
rnacentral:rRNA from 1 species